GAACAAUAAGUUAAACCAAAACUAGAUAUUACUAGAAUAUUCUAGACUAUUCUAAAAUAGUCUAGAAUGAGCUAGAAUGAGCUAGAAUGUUCUAGAAGGUUCGAGAAUAUUAUGGAGUUCUCUGGAAUAUUCUAGAAGAUGAUAGAAAAUCUUUUAUGUAUAGUAGAGAAUGUGAGAAUAUUCUAGUAAUAUCUAGCUUUGGUUUAAUUUAUUGUCCUCAUUUGUAGAAUGUACAAAAAGUGUGAGCCCAAGUGUGUACUAAAGUGAUCCCUUGUGUAAUAAAAGUUGAAGAAUUGCAAAAGUCUCUCUCCAUAUAGCUACAUAUAUUAAACCUUCCAAAUUACCUUCAUUUCUUCAUUUAUCAACUAAACAAAAUCCCUUUCCUUCUUACAUUUAAAGGUCUCUACCUUUAAAUUGUUCUCCUACAAACAUCAACUAAGGUCUAGGCAGUUUUUGGCUGAUCCUUCUUCAGUAAUUGAAUGUCAGAGCAUCUACAAUCUUGGUACCCAUGUCACGACGAAUCUGAAAAUUGAUGGCAAGAGCAUCAGAAUAAAUAUACACAGUUUUUUUUCUUUCCUUUUUUUGGGAGGGUAGGGGUGGGGAGGGGGAUAGGCAGCAAACUCAGCAUUUGUGACAAAAUAUGAUACUCCAUUGAUUGUAAUUGUCAAUACAUGAAUAUUCGGUGUAAGUUAUCAAAUACUUAAUCCAGAAACUGCCAUUUUAACUUGUAAGGAAGGGAAAGGAUUUCAAACGUUGCUAUGAAUGUAAAUAUGAUGUAAUUCUGUUGAAGGAUGUAUUCUUUUAUAACUAUGACCACAGAUUUUUUUACUUCUUUAAUUGUCGUAGAAGGUAUUCUUAAGUGGGGGGUCUAUCGGAAACAACUCUCUACACACAAAGUAGGAGUAAGGUCUGCAUUCACACUAUCCUUCCCAGAUCCACUUGUGAAAUUAUACUGGGUUUGUUGUUGAUUAUCGUAGAAGGUAUGACUGUGGUUUAUGUUGGGGACUCAUUAUCACUAAUAUGAAUCAAUUGCAAAAGUGAACAAUACAACGAAAGCUCUUCCGGGAAGCUAAUAAACUCUUCAUGUAAAAGUGUAUUAGCAAGUUUCUUGUUUGACAGAACUACUUUUUACCUAAAAAUUCGUAAAAAUAGCACGGUAUAGUCAGUGUUCGGAUUGGUCAUUCAAAAAUAGCUAGCGUUUACCAAAUCAAUGAAAAAUAGUCACUAUUUUAUUGCGGCA
rnacentral:lncRNA from 1 species